rnacentral:rRNA from 1 species
GUCUACGGCCAUACCACCCUGAACACGCCCGAUCUCGUCUGAUCUCGGAAGCUAAGCAGGGUCGGGCCUGGUUAGUACUUGGAUGGGAGAAGUGAUUUAUCAGUUGCAUAGAAC